GCUAAAAUGUGUUGUCGAGCCCUUUGCGUGUUUCUGUGAUCAUGGUGAUUGAUAAUGAAUUAGUAAUUAGAAAUAAGACAAUACCACAAUGGCGAAGCGUCACAUUUUCUCAAGAUUUUAAAAAGUUGUUUCAAGACAACAUUUGAAAUGAGCAAAUAUGUGACGUCACAUAUUUCUGGUAGCCGGCUGCAGGCUUCGCUUUCUGCGUAGCCUGGCAUCAUACUAUUAUUAGUAUUACGAUCUAAUAACGUUAUUAGCUCCCGUGCCUCCAAAUUGCGAAGAGGACUGAAGAGACUCAGGAGCUAUAGUGCGGUUGGCUACCAGACAACUGCAUGCAGUACAUUGCAAUAUGAUACACCUUAAUAUAUCAUAUGCACCUCCUGAUUCAAAUCUUAUACUUUGUCUGUAUGUGAAUGUCCAGUGUAUUAGGCCAUCCGGUUACUUAUCGUCACCAUAACUUUAGACUUUGACCACAUGUUAUCUCACAAUUCAUACCUGUUUAGGUCUUUAACAUUAAGAUUCACAUGACACAGACAUUAAGCAACUUUAAAUAAAACGAUAUAUCUAACACCAUGAAAAGAAUCAUUAUAGGAUACAUGUAUAAGCACAACGUCACACACCAAAGAAGACACAACAACCAACAUAUACCAGACCGACGUCACAAACUAUGUUACCUACGGUCACUUGUUAACUUUUAGCUCAAGGCAUAAACUCGAAAUGACUAACAGCAACUUCAUGAACCGUCAAUCGUUCAGCGCUUUCCUCAAGAGGACACAGGUUUUAUUCGGUCAACCAAGGAGGUUCCGUAUCAAGAAUGUUUGAAUCAAUUAAGAAAACAGAAACAAACUAAUGCAAACGCAAAGCAAGCAAACCAACGGACUCGCCAACCUUAAUAUCUUAUGUCACGAAACCGGCAACGAAUAAAAUGGCCAUGACGGCAUGAGCCAAGAAAGACAAGAACUCGCGAAGUUGUAGCCUGUGCCUGCUACUCACUGUGCUAAGUUGGACGCUCAAUCUGCCACUACAAACUGUGAAAGGGGUACUACUUUGCCGUCCGAAUUUUGAUGACAAUGUUGAGCUGACAUUCUAGUUGAAGUAUGGACUUUUUUUUUUUAUAAAUAUUGGAGCUUGCCGUCAGCCGCGCCUAUACAUUGCUGUUGUUUGCCCAAAUCGAGGUGUAGGUAGGCUAGGAAGACUACAGUCCCGGAUAUAGACCCGUAUAAAGAAUGUUAAAAGCCUUUAACAGAUGACUCAGAGCAUGUGAUCGAUUCAUUUGCCACCCAAAAUGCAUGCAAAGGAGGCGUGUUAGAACGCAAGGUAUGACUGAUAUAAGGUGGAAAGACAAGCUAGGCCUCAUUCCGUCUCAGUACAAACAGCACAUGCCAUGACAGCGAGGUCCUAACGAGUCCCUCCAAUUUGUCACUGAGGAAGGCCUUGCGGAGUCUAGUGAAGUUCCUUGGACAUCUUUGGAGUCUCCACUAAGUUGAUCUCCUGAAAACUUGAAUUGGAAGGGAAAUGACAGAGUGACGUGAAAUGUAAAAGAUACGCACCCUGAACAAAGCGAAAAGGGCUGGUAACCUCCGAACCGAACACACGUCACAACUUCCGCGCAUCUCUGGACAAGGGCGGGGUUUGUAGACUGCUACAACUGAGCACAGGGGUGGACUUGCUACAUUAAAUCGACUAUGCUAUCAAAUUAUCGUGGUCCUCAUAUUCCUUCACAUUUUU